rnacentral:lncRNA from 10 species
AGAGGAGGUUCCUGGAGGACUCAUGUGAUUAUACUGAACUGACCCAGAUAACCCAGGAUAAUUCACAUCUCAAGACCCUUAAACUUGAUGACGUCUGCAAAGUCCCUUUUGCCAUAAGGUUAUAUUGGCAUAUGGUCCAGGAAUUAGUGCAGAGCCACAAUCUCAGAAAGAAAAUGAGAGUGGAUAAUGAAGACAGAUCAUCUGGGUGUAAACCUGAGGAUAUUCCAGAAUAUAGAGGUUAGAGAGAUAAGAAAGAAACUAGCAAGGAAACUAAGGAGCAGCCUCUAAGUAGAAGGAAAAGAAUGGUGAGUUGUAAUUGGAGGUGAAGACAGUUUCAAGGGAGGGUAUGUUAAUUGCUGCUGACACAUCAAGGAAGAUGAGGACUGAGCAUUGACCAUUGGAUUUAGCAACAUGGAGUUUUCUGCUGACCUGGACCUGAGCAGUUUUAAUGGAGUGGUGGGGGCAAUGCAUGACAGAAGAGAAUUCAAGACAGAAGGGACUUUUCCAAAAAAAAAAGGUAUACAAAUGGUUAUUGUGCAACGUGGAAAGAUGUUCACCAAUAUUAGUCAUUUAGGAAAUGAAAAUCAAAAGCACAAUGAGUUACCAGUUCACACUCACUCAGAAGGCAAUAAUCAAAGAAAUGGACAAUAGCAAGGGUUGGGAAGGAUAUGGAGAUAUUCUCCCACAUUGCUGGUGGAAUGUAAAAAUGGUGAAGGUGAAGGUGGAAAAACGGAAAUGAAGUAUUGAGAGGGAGAUGGAAUAUAAGAAGCUUUCUGACAGAUAACCCAAUGGAACAAACUGACUGACUGGGCAUCUGAAAUGAGUAAGAAGGAGUCAAAAAUGAGCAAAAUUAUGCUUCUCUGUGGAUGCAAAUCAUAUCUCCAUUACUUACACCCAGGAGAACUUGUAUGAAGUAGUUAACUUCUCUGGAUUUUAGCUUUUUCAUGUGUACAAUGGGGGGUUUAUGCCUCAUAGAGUUGUAGAAACUGCAAAUGAGAGACUUAUGAAAAGCCUACUGAAUGACCUUAUGAAUAAUAAUAUCAUCAGUGGAAGGUGAUUUGAGGAUGUGAUGCUGUUAUCCCUGACAUGGGCAGGAGGGAACUUGGACAAAGACCAAGGAAGAAAAUAUCUCUUCUCUGAAUGUCUUGUCUGCAUUUGAGUGCAAUGUCCUUUAUUCCGUGUCUUCCACCCAAUCAGGGCCCUACUGCCACUUAAGGGGUAAUUUCUCUUUCAAUCAUUAGUUGUUCCAGCACCAAGAAGCUUAGCCUCAGUUGAGGCACCUGAGUCAGGAGGCCAGGAUCCUUGGGAGAUUGACAAC